ensembl:lncRNA
AGAAAGAUAGACAAAAGCGAGCGAGAUUGAGUCACUGUCACUUGUGGAGGAAAGUGCUAUAGAGUAGUUAGACCAGCCUCACUGGUCUGGGUGCAUUUAUCUGUCUGUAAGGCCUGUUGAAUGUCAUUCCCAUGCUUCUCCUCCUAGUGAUGACAUGAUCGAAAGAAGGGCAACUUCUCCACCACGAAAAUCGACACGCGUGACUUCUAGAGAUAGAGAGAAACAAACUGGAGAGUGAGAGAAUUUGUUAGAGGAAAAGGAAGAGAGAGAGAGAGAGUGAGAGAGAGAGAGUGAGUGUAAGAGACAGAAGAGUUUGAGCGGGUUUUAGCGUUGCUGUUUUUUGACACCGCUGAGUCUACAGAGCGAUGUCGCAACUUUUCUGACAACCCAAGGAGGACUGGAGUGACCAUGCAACAGACAGAGGAAAUAAGGGGAAAGAAUAUGUCAACAAUCCAUCUGGGAAAACUGGUGAAGUAUGACAAUGGAGAACAACUGGAAUGAUAAAGAGAACAAUCCUAACAUGCUUCCUAACAAGACAAGAGACGCCAGGGCACACGCCUGAAACUGAACUAAGACUGAGGACAAACACAAGGAAUGUUCCAGAUUGUUUUCUGUAACUCAAUCUCAACAGCCGCUGGUCUGUCUAAUCCAUAAUCCAUAUACAGCAUAUCAUAUGUAUGUACUGUAUGUUUGUUUGUAUAUACCAUCAUUGGUCUGACCCAGGGGGUCUGAUGUAAGAGUGCUCUCUGUCCUGAAUGUCUCAGCCAAACCCCUCCGUUGACACCCAGACUCUGCUUCAGUCCAUGCUCCAGAGACUGAGGCUCCAGCCUGGCUCAGAGACCCAGCACGGCAGGCAGGACCAGGCCCCCCACGGCCCCACCACAGCUGCCCAGGGCCAGGGGGAGGAUGGGGGGAGACCUUGGGCUAACGCCAUUGGCAAUGGGGCUCUGGGGCUGUCUCCGGCUGAUGAUGUCAGAGCGGCUGAGGGAAAAGGGGGAUGUGAGAAGGCCAGGAAAAGUGAGAUGUGGAGGUUGGACUCCAGGGAGGAGGUUGGGAUACCUGUGUGGGACUGUAAUUUUGGGGGAUCCAUUCGGAGAGGGAAAGGGGAGGAAGGGAGGAAGCAACCCACUGGCAGUCUCCCCAAGUUGGACAGGGGACAGAUGGUGUCAUCCCCUUUGGCUGCUCAGGGUGCCCCUGUCCUCGCCCCCUUACAGGAUGCUGGCAGUGUAAGAGGUGACCCAGGAGGGUCAGUGGGGGCUCUGCCAACAGUGAUGACCUUCACAGGAACUCAAACCGGGAACGAGGGCCACAUUGACGCAUCACCUCUCAGUAACUCAUCUCUAAGCUCCAAGACCAAGGGUGCUCAGAACCAUGACCGGUCGGUUCUAAUGACGUCAAACUCUGACUUUAUUCCAUUUGACAUGGGGACUCAAAUGAAGAGGUGGCAGACUUUGGGCUAUGGGGGGUCAGAGGUUCCGGGACAUGGAGAUGUCAUGAAGAUUAUGUCACCUGGUCAAGGUGUAGCAGAAAACACCUCGUCAACUAAGUCGAUGAAGAGAUUGACACAGAGGAUAAAGGAGAAAUGGAGGGACAGGCAGGAGAGUUUAGGGAAGAAAAGGAAAGCGGAGGAUGGAGUGAGAGAAGAAAGGAAAGAUGCAAAACAAGUUAAACUGUUAACCAGAGAUGAUAACGUCACUAAGAUGUCCAAUAAAGAAGGCUAUACGACCACUCAGUCACCAAUCAGAGAGGGCCAGGGGGAAGCCCCUCCCACUCUGUCAGAAGACAGCGGUACAGCAGGUCUGUUCAGAUCCCCAAGUUCCUUUGAGUUCGGCCUUGGGUCCUUUAGCUUGUUGGAGGAGAUCCUCACAGGGCAGGAGUGGGCCAGGUUUCUAAAUCCAUCACAAGUAGACACCUUAGCCAAUCAAACACCAGCUGAAGAGGUCACCAAUCAAUUAGAGGCCAGCCAGAGACGGCCACAAGAUCAUGAGAGCGGCCGAUCAACUAUGACCUUGGACAGAGUCAGACAAUCAGGAAAUGUGAACAGUCAGUGGGACUUCAGACAAAGUGAAUUGGACCUAAGUUAUGAUAGAAGCGCUGAUGUUUCUUCAUCUGUCAAUAUGAAUAUCACAGAACCAAGCCUUGUCCAAGAACAGAACAGUAAAUGUGAACUCAUCCAAUCGGCACCAAAGGAAUAUGGUCAUGUCCAAUCACAAACCAGUUCUGAUGAAGUGAGGCCAAAUCAUAUACCUGUGUUAGAGUUCUCGUUCAUUAAGCCAGUGGAGGUCUUGGAUAGCUCUGCCCUGAAGAGCAGGGUCCACAUGAACAGAAAAAGAGAGCACCGGUCACAGGAGAGGAAAGAAGAGAGAGAAUGUUUAAAAGGAGAGGGGGGAGAGAGAUUAGAAGACAACUCAGUCCCAUCUGAUGAGGAAGAGAGGGAAGAGGGGGACAACUUUAUGAUGCCUGUCUACCCCCUGAAAUCCUCCCUUUCCCCUCUCCCUCCAUCCUCCCCCUCUUCCACCUCACAUCCCCUUGUCACCCGAAGUAUACUGCAACACUCAGUGUUUCAAGAUUCAGAGUCCUCACUAUCAAUGGAAACAGUGACCAAAAAGAGGCGGAUGUCAAAAUCUCGUCACGUGCGGUUCUCUGAGGAGGUAGUUACCAUGCCGCCCAGCCUCCUGAUCCAGCAGUAUCCUGAUUCAGAGGAGGAUUGUGGAACAGAGGAGGACUCCACGCUAGAGGAGAAUGCAGUGAUGGAGGAAGUUCAAGUUGUGCCGAUGAUGCUACAGCCCGCUGCUGCUCUCCCCGCCUGGAUAUUAGCUCUGAGGAGGAAGACAAGGAAGAAACACAGGCACUGAACAAUAACAGGCUCAUCCUUGUCUACCCUUAUUUAACCAAGCAAUUACCUUGAGAAUCUCCUUUGCAAGAGAGACUUGGCAAGAUAGUAAAAAUACUUUGUAAUUACUUUUGCAUCUUUUUUUUCAUUCAACUCAAAUGUUUGAUACUGAGUUAUUAGUGCUUUCCAUGGGGAAGGGAAGAGGAAAGGAAACGAGAUUACUUCGAUCAUUCUACAAGCCAACACACAAAAACAAACUCAUGUCAUUACAUGAUCGCUAUGUUUACGUGUGAAAGUGUUCUAAGUCCAUUAGCAUGGAAUGUCAGGAGACAAUAGUUAUAACGGACCGUUUCUCUCUCUCUCUCCCUCGCUCCUCAUCAGUCCUUAUUAAUUAACAGUGGUGUAAGGCCAUUAAGAAGCUCUUUUGCUGAUCUAUUAGUGUUGUGAUGGGUCCUUGGUGAGAGGAGGAGUGCCCAGGUUGUGUGUGUGUGUAUGUGUCCGUGCAUAUUGGGUGUGUAAUGCAGAAAAACACAAUACAGCAGGCACGACUCAGUCAAGUCCGAUAAUUGUAUAAUUGCUGGUUACCUUUGCUUUCCACCAGGUUCCAAGAUCAAUAUAGGACCACGGCAUCUUUUCUCAUACCCCCCCAUUGUUAUAGUACAUCACAAAUGGAGCAAGACAGAGAUGGAGAAAGGGAUGAGGCCAGAUAACUGUAACAUAUGAACUACAGAGUAUGUACAAAGGUAAUGGGACCAGGGCAAAGCUUUUAUGUGGCGGCAGACUGUGGAACAGCUACAAUAUUGAGAGUAACAGUUUAUAAAGUUAUUUGUUUGUUUUUACUAAAGUGUUCAUCCCACUGUACAGAGAUAGUUUGCCCCCAAAGAUCGGAACACAUUUUAAAAACACAUUUUAAAAGUUAUUCAGAGAUUCAAUUGUUACGUCAUUCAGGGCAAGUGGGGCGGAGCCCCAUCUGUUUUGAGCCUCACAUUUUUAGCAAUAAAUAAUUAAACAUGUAUAUUUGUUUUAAAUUGGGGGGGCUUGCCAUUUUGCAUGUUAUUUUGGCAUUAAUAUGUGUCACAUAUUAGUUUGCAAACUAUGUAAAAAAAAUAUAUAUAAAUAUCAUUGCGUUAAUAAAGGCGCACACACACAUGGUCUCUUUGUUGUGUUCUUGAGUAAGGCAGCUCCAAAAUGCAGGUGUUUCAGCCUAGCACAGUGCUUUCUGUGGUGGUGUGGCGAGCCAGCUGAAAUAGGAGCAGUGUUCUGUCACUCAUGGGGACACUACGUCACAGGCCAAGUUUAUGUCCUUAGUAAGGGUAGACAUCCAAAAUGUCAGCCCUUUGGGUCCUGCC